AUGAUUCAACAGUGCCCAUACAAAUGGUCAAAGUAAACUGACUCAUUACAUCUAUGGAUGCUAAGUCUUUUCAGGAAUCCAGCUGAACCCAUUCAAUGCCUUGUGAGUUAAGUAAUUAGAGACCUUUUUCAACUGCCACAACUCUUCAAACAUGACAGAGUGACCUUGCCAGCACUUGCUUCUUCAGGACUCUUAUGUUCAUUAGUAACAAAGCAAUGAAAAGAAUACCUGUCAGACUUUGGUUGCCUCUAAACUUCCUAAAUACAUGGGAGCAAGUGAAUGUUCUAUCAGUGGUGCUGGUUCCACAACUGUGAUGUAAAUAAAUCCCAGGUAUUGUGAUGUUAUGCGUUAGACCACAUGGCUGCUAACACUUUCCUGUGAUGUGCAUCUUCAUAUUUGUAGGAGCUUCCUAUCUAUAAGAGACUGAAGUUCAUGGAUUGUCAAGCCAGAAUGCACUUUCUCCUAGUAGAGGGUGUGGAAUAUCACUGUUUCUGUGUCCAGGCUCCUCUUAUGACUGAGUUUAACAUCUGAUGCAGCUGACUGAUCCUCCCAAAAUCCCAGCCAGCCAACAAACAAAAGAAUCAGCUUGUCAGCACAACCAGGAACAGUGAAUGCAAAACAGUAGGUGCCUGUGGUUUGCUUGUCUUCAUGCAAAACAGAAAUCCUCACUUAUUUAUAGCAUGUGGUGGAAGAAUCAGGUGAAUGAGUGCCCUAAUACAGGAGCUGAGUCUCUGCUGCGAUCGUAUGAAAUCCCUCACCUUCAGUUAAGUUCUUGAAGUGCUGAACUCUACCAGCUGGGAUGAGAUGCAAAUUAUCAAUUAAUUUUCCUAGAAAUAGGAGGUUUUUGGUCUCUUUUUCAUCUCAUUAGUAUUUCAUUAAAAGAAAAGAAAGAAGUUCCAUCAUUACCAAACAGGCAAAUCUGUGUAUAACUAACCAUAAAGUUAAAGAGCACAACAUAGACAUGUGUGCAUGUGUUUACAUAAACAUGUAUGCAUGAAUACAAAUGCAAAAACAUGCUGAUAUAUCUGUAUCUCUCUAUAUAUUUAUAUCUGUGGCAUUUGCCAUCUGUUAGCAGUGUAAUACUGGAAAUAAGCAUCUGGCACUGUUUCAUAUAGUAGGGCCUUUUGACAGCUGAUGCUAGGGAAUGCUGUACCUUUGGGGAUUACCAAGUAAUUAAUUAGGAGUAGGUAAACAUACUGCAGAACACGAAAUUCCUAUACUGAAAGCAAGAGUGUCAAGGUACUCUUAGAUUUAUUUUUCAUCUGGCCUAAAGCCUAACAUCAGAUCUAAUGCUUUUUGGCAGGAUGCCCUGACUGUUUUUAGGGCAACUUUUGUUAAAAAUGAACUACGAAAGAUGUUAAUAAUGUUACUUGUUAAUUUUGCAUCCACAUUAUUAUUGCAACUCCACAUUUGCCCAGGUAGUCAACUAUAAACACCGAAAACAGUGCAGAGAGAAUCAUCGAGAAAGGUUCCAGAGAAAUAAACUACAAGAAGAUGUGUGCUGCAUGAACCAUAUGGUAUACUAUGUGUUACCCAUGGGUUAAUGGGUACAGAGUGCUAGAAACAGAUGUGACAUUUCAGCUAUUCAAAGGCUAAAACGUUUUCUUCCUUAUCAGAUGGAAUUAUUCAUUGGCUUCCAGGUUCAAAAGUGUUUAAAUCAUUGCUGCUUUUACUGCACUCAGUCAGACACCUGCAAGGGCUCUUUCUGGUCAUAUGUCUUUGCAACCCUUUCCUAGGUGGACAGUGUGAAUGAAACAAGCAGUCUCCUAGAACACUAUUUUCUUCUGUUUCCAGAGCAAAUCAAUCUCAUGGUGUGGGAUAUGAACAACUUUAGCUAAGGAAAUGGUACAGCCUUUCAAUCUUGCAUCAUGUAAAGCCAAGAUACUUUUCAUUGCUUUGUUGUUAUGUGUUGAUUUUUGAAUGAAUUAGUCAAAAUUGUAGCCAGGAAUUGGAUAGAGAUUAGAAACUUAAAUCAUCUUCCCCAAGGGGGAAGGGAAAAGCAUAUCAGUUGCUGUCAUGUAGAGCUGGCAGUCAGAAAAGACAUUUGAAACAAGAAAUACAGUCCAAGUCAUGAAAUGUGUAAGGAGGACAGAAAUUGUAAGUAAAUAAUCUGAUCUGCUUUGCUACAGUUCCAUAUGUACACCGACAGACACAUACACACACAUAGAUUUUCGUGUUCAAAUUGACCAUUUGGUUCCUAGCAAAUGCCAUGUCAUGUGCGCUCCAUCUCAUCAUGAGUUUCAGAAAUGCCCAUUUUGUCAUCUUUUUUAAUAGUCUCCAGGAUGAUAUUUUGGAGAUUCAGACGUGGUGUUUGGUUUUUUGUUUUGUUUUGUUUCGUUUUGUUUCGUUUUUUGUCAGCAUUAACUGUGAACAGAUUUUCACAGUGGAAUCAUAUCCCGUUCUUUCAAUAAAUGAUACAUCAAAAUUAGAAUAAAAGUUUGUGUCACUAUGAUACAAGAAGCUCAGCUCCUCAACCAGGUAUGGAGAACAUGUAUUGCACUCAGAAAAGUGGGUAUGUGUACAUAAUUUUACUAGCUACUGAUAUGUAGUUGCCCUCAGAAAUGGAGCAAGAAAUAAUCUCUGCCAUAGAACAGCAAUUUGGAGAAAUAAUCAAAUCCAGAGGUGCUGAAUGAGAUGCACCUGUGAAAACUGAGGCAAAUAUACAGGCUGGCAGAACUUGAUAAGCAUGUGAGGGGGAGGAAAUUGAGGGUCACACUCCUGCGUUAGCAGUUAGGGCAUUGUUACAGGAUGUAAUCAAAAAGACAGCGUUGUUUUUGUACCAGGGAAGCUGCAGGAUAAUUUCAGAGGACUUGAUAGCUGUGAGGGCAGGGCUAUGGCUGGUGGCAUGUAGACAGUGUUGUCCUAUCAGGUGCCUAGGCACUGGCACCAUCACACCAAGCUGGUUCCAAUGUUCUCUCAGGGCUGUUCACUUGCUGAUUUGUUGUGUGGCUCCCUGCCUCACAUACAAGUUCCUUGGUCUUCCUCGUCCCAAAUGCUGUGAGUACCAAAGGCAACAAUUGUUGGGCAUUCAUUUCAUUUUGCUCACAAUGUGCAAAUAUGCUGAUGCGGAUCAAGACUCAUUCAUUAAAACUAAAUGAACUGAAAUCAUGAUUAACAGAAAUAAAUACAGCUGUUAGAUUGUGCACUUUAUUACCUGGGUUCUUUGGCAGCUAUCCAUUAUUUUAAAGCAGCAUCUGUUGACAUACUCUAAUCCUGUGUGAGAAAGUGAAAUAGACGUUUCUCCUUUUAAUAAAGAGUGUAAGAUACUGCUUUUGAAAAUUCCUGACUGCAUAUGCUACUAAUCUUGAUGAUGAACUCAACAGCUAAACUAAAAGCAACCCAAACAUCAUGCCCAAAGGGAAGCAGCCUCAUGAUAAACUGUAGUUGAACCGCACCACAGCGUAAUAAGGAAAAGAAAAUCAAUACGUGAACCUCUUUAAGAGUCUUCAGUGCAACAUAAAUGUAAAUGUCGUUAAUAGGAAGCUGCCAUCUGGACAGUUGGAUGAUGUAGAUUCUGGCAGUAGAGGUGCCAUUCCUCUUGGAAAGCACAAGAAAAUCAGACUUUGAAAGAUGCUGCAAACAGAGUUUUACUGAAUCUCUUCUGAAUAUAUUAAAGUUGGCUGUGAGAAAAAGCUUGCAAAGCUUUCCUCUUCUUCAUGUUUUGGAUCCAGGCAGAGAUCACUGUUCAAAUACAUUAGUGAUAUAGAUCUGUACAAAUGUGACCACAGAAAAAAAAAGGUCCCUUUUAAAAGAUCUUUUCUCUAAAAAGGACACUGUAUUCCAAAAGAGUCUGUAUUAUGGGAUUCCUACUUUAUAUAUGUAAAAUCCUGAAGUCAGAGAUAGUUUGCAGGAGAGAGAAAGCAAACAUCUUUUAAGAUCUUUUUUUAAAUGAUCACCGCUCCUUAUUUAGGUUUCAUAGAAGACCGCAGAACAGAAAAUAAAUGAAAAGCAAGUACUUUUCCCCAAGAAUGUUUUUUACUGUACAUUUUGUAGCAAAAAAAAAAGAAAAAGAAAAAGAAAAAGAAAAAAGGAAAAAAUAUUCCAAUCACAGGGAUGUCAUUUCUAAAACUCCAAGUAGGAAACAUGACAAAUACAAGAUCAAGUACACAGCCAUGUCACAAUAUAUCUCUGCACCUUUAAAAAAAAUAUACAUAGAGUUUUUUUAGAGUGUUAUUUGCUCUGUGCCCUGACCCUUUCCCCACAUCUUUUACAAAAUCAUAGGAACUAUGUGCAAUUUCAGAAUGGUUCCCAGCAGCUGAUCAUUGGCAGCCAACAAAUUAAUAAACAAGGACAGUUGCAGUAGCCACCAGAAUGCUGGAAAUCACAGUCAAGUCACUGAGGACAAUAAAGUCACCAAGGACAAUGGGCCAUGUGCAUUUCCAAAACCACAGCAAUGCUCCCCAACAAGGAAUCUGAGAAUCAGUUUACAAGCCCUAAAGAGCUUAUGUUCUUAGUUAGCAAAUAGCUAAGGGUGAGGGACAGGGGCGCUAGGGUACUUGGGAAAGGCUGAUUGUGUGCAGGAGACACAUGGGAGACUCCCUGUCCUGUGACACCCAAAUUUAACUUUUUAUGUGGCUAAUUGGGAACGUAUCCAAUCCCCUGAAACACACAAAAACUUACAUUUCAUGUGAUGCUAGUGGUACAGUCAAGCUGUGUCAUGGAGACUGUAGAAAGAGCUUUUGUCACAAUAGGGUGGAAAACUGUGUUUUCUUUGUCAGUUGAGCAGAGAGUGACAGUGUGACCUUUGCCAGAAGCAACUGGCAUUCAUAAUGUAGACUGUUCAUGGGAGACACUUUGGUUUUCCCUUUCUUUUUCCUUUACUAUGAAAUCUUGAUAACUACUUUUUGCAUCUUUGUUAGCAAAACCCCCAGAGAUACCAAUAGUUGCUGCAAUCUGCCUUAAGCCCUGACAAGCAGAGAAUAUGAAGAAGAUGGAAGAAAGAGGAGGAUUUUUUAAAAACUUAUCAGGUCCUAGAUUUUACUUUUUCUAGGACAUGCAGUGGUAGUAUCAGAGGUGGGUUAUACAGAAUUUCAGAAAUUUGACCUUUGUACGUAUCCUCCUUUUCAUCCAGGGGAUUUAGCAGGAGACUGAAAACAAAACCAAAAAUACAUGGAAACAGUUUCUGCUGGGAAAGAAAAAAACAGAAACCAACAAAACAAAACAGCCCAGAAGCACACACAAGGCAAAACAAAAUGAAAAAUCAGCAAAUCCCAAACGAAAAGCCCACUCGACAGAUGAUCUGCAAGUGGGGACAUACUGCAAAUCUUCAUGGAAGGUCUGCUGCUGCUGAACAUAAUGCCUCUGCACUUAUUGUCAAUGCAGUCCCCUGCAACCAGCUGUUUUCUUCAUCUUUCCCUCGUCCCACAGACUGAGGAACUCUCCUACGGGGGUAUAUCAUCCGUCCCACACUUUGCUCUGCUCCAUUCUUAUUUGUCUUCCAUAGAUUUCAUACUGUCCCUAUCCCGCAAAGGGAGCGUCUUAUACACAAACCAAGGAUGAUACACAGAAUAAAAGGAUCAAUCUUCAA